AACGAACGCUGGCGGCAGGCUUAACACAUGCAAGUCGAGCGCCCCGCAAGGGGAGCGGCCGACGGGUGGGUAACGCGUGGGAACGUACCUUUUGGUUCGGAACAACUCCGGGAAACUGGAGCUAAUACCGGAUAAGCCCUAACGGGGAAAGAUUUAUCGCCGAAAGAUCGGCCCGCGUCUGAUUAGCUAGUUGGUGAGGUAACGGCUCACCAAGGCGACGAUCAGUAGCUGGUCUGAGAGGAUGAUCAGUCACACUGGGACUGAGACACGGCCCAGACUCCUACGGAAGGCAGCAGUGGGUAAUAUUGUACAAUGGGCGCAAGCCUGAUCCAGCCAUGCCGCGUGAGUGAUGAAGGCCUUAGGAUUGUAAAGCUCUUUUGUCCGGGAAGAUAAUGACGGUACCGGAAGAAUAAGCCCCGGCUAACUUCGUG
rnacentral:rRNA from 1 species